rnacentral:rRNA from 1 species
GACGAACGCUGGCGGCGUGCUUAACACAUGCAAGUCGAACGGAAAGGCCCUGCUUGCAGGGUACUCGAGUGGCGAACGGGUGAGUAACACGUGGGUGAUCUGCCCUGCACUUCGGGAUAAGCUUGGUAAACUGGGUCUAAUACCGGAUAGGACCGCACUUUAGUGUGUGUGGUGGAAAGUUUUUUCGGUGUAGGAUGAGCUCGCGGCCUAUCAGCUUGUUGGUGGGGUAAUGGCCUACCAAGGCGGCGACGGGUAGCCGGCCUGAGAGGGUGUACGGCCACAUUGGGACUGAGAUACGGCCCAGACUCCUACGGGAGGCAGCAGUGGGGAAUAUUGCACAAUGGGCGCAAGCCUGAUGCAGCGACGCCGCGUGGGGGAUGAAGGCCUUCGGGUUGUAAACUCCUUUCGCUAGGGACGAAGCUUUUUGUGACGGUACCUAGAUAAGAAGCACCGGCUAACUACGUG